AUAAGCGGAGGAAAAGAAACUAACGAGGAUUCCCUUAGUAGCUGCGAGCGAAGAGGGAGGAGCCCAGCGCCGAACCUCGCGGUCCGAGCGGCCGUGCGGAAUGUGGCGUUAGGGAGCGUCCGAUCAUCUCUGCGUUUCCCCGGAGUCCAAGUCCAACUUGAAGGAGGCCACGGCCCGCAGAGGGUGACAGGCCCGUAGAGGCUCCGGGGCGCGCGGUGUGGGCGUCUCCUUAGAGUCGGGUUGCUUGAGAGUGCAGCCCUAAGUGGGUGGUAAAUUCCAUCUAAGGCUAAAUAUGACCACGAGACCGAUAGCGAACAAGUACCGUGAGGGAAAGUUGAAAAGAACUUUCAAGAGAGAGUUCAAG
rnacentral:rRNA from 1 species